GAUUACCCUAAUGUUUGUUUCCACAGAAGGAGCGCUUUCUGUCAGCAGGCUGGAAAAGUGUAAACGCACUGGACAUGAUGACGGUCUACAGCAUGCUUCCUCAGGAAGAUGUAGCUAGAAUUGAGCGUCUAGAGUUUUUAGAUGAAAAGGAACUUCUCCAACAGCUUCUACAACACUACUGCAUUUGCUGGGCUGUAAAAGAUAAGCUCAAUCUAGGCCUCUCACAAAUUGGGUUUUAAACGUCAGUUUGGACUUGGUUGUAAAAGUUUCAUUUGAUCAGCAAGAGUGGACAGGAUGCUCUUCUUGACGCUUUUCAGAGGAUAGGAAGGGGAAGUC